AUUGAACGCUGGCGGCAGGCCUAACACAUGCAAGUCGGGCGAGCGGCGGACGGGCGAGUAAUGCAUGGCGAUCUGCCUGAUGGUGGGCGAUAACUACUGGAAAAGGUAGCUAAUACCGCAUACCAUCAGAUGAACCCAUAUGGGAUUAUCUUUCAGGUGAGGUAACGGGUCACUUAGGUGACGAUCCCUACCUGGCCUGAGAGGAUGAUCAUCCAGCCUGGGACUGAGACACGGCCCAGACUCCAAAGUGAGGCAGCAGUGGGGAAUAUUGCACAAUGGACGCAAGCCUGAUGCAGCCAUGCCGCGUGUAUGAAGAAGGCCUUCGGGUUGUAAAGUACUUUCAGUCGGGAGGCGUUAACGACAGAUGAGGCGCCGGCUGACUCCGUGCCAGCGGCGGCGGUAAUAC
rnacentral:rRNA from 1 species